rnacentral:tRNA from 1 species
GCCUGGGUGGCUCAGUCGGUUGAGCAUCUGACUUUAGCUCAGGUCAUGAUCUCACGGUCCGUGAGUUCGAGCCCCGCAUUGGGCU